rnacentral:lncRNA from 1 species
GUCGCCGGGUCAGGACUUAGAAAAGAAUUCCACGGAGGAGCCUCCGGCGACCGGGCCCGGCGGGACCGUGGCUCCCGUCCCUCAGCCGGGGCUCCACCUACGCCUCGAGCCGGCCCCCUCCCACCUCCGGACAAAGACGCGACCCGCGAAACUCGGAGAGAGAGUCCGGUCCGACGGCCCGGACCCACCCCGGGCACGCGUCCCGGCCGGGGACGCCCUCCCCGGCCCGCCCUCGAGGGCUCCCGGGGCCGGUCCACGCUCUUCUCCAGGGCGGGACUUGGACAAAAAACUGCCACGGAGGAGGAGGCAUCCGAGGACCGGGCCCGGUCCCCACCGCCAGAGCCGGUCGACUCGGAAGACCAGUGGGGAAAAGGCCAGCCCGGCGGCCGAGCCCGUCGCGCCCUCCACGGGCCUCCCCCGCAAGGCCCCGGCCGGUCCCCCACCUCCGGAGCGGGGCGCGGAAAGGGGAUCGGCGACGCGGAAGGCCCGACCACCGGGCCGCCCUCAGGACGACGGCCGGGCACGGGACGAGUUCCCUCGCCCGUUCCCCCGCGGUGGCCCCCACCCCUCCCGGGGACGGAGGGGCACCGGCGGCUGCUGGUCGACCCGUCCGGGAGGCCCCACACCCCGGCCGGACCGGGCGCGCGGCGACAGCCACCUCCCUCAGUAGCCUGCACCUCCAAUCUCCGGCGAGCGGGCGUCGCGCUCACGCCCGGCGCCACCGGGCCAGAUCCCGCCAGCGACGCCGGCCUCCCGGGACUCUGCCUCGGUCACCGCGGCCGAGUCCCGUCCCUUGGCCCGCGUCGCCGGAGCUCCGGAGGAAAGAGACGAUAUAAAAGCGGCCGCCAGGUGGCACCCGGCGACCGGCGACCGCCUCAGCGGGACGGAGCCGGAGCGCGGGCCCGCCGGGGAGCACAGCCGGGCCGCCGGGCCGCCAGAUCCCGUCCCGGCGCCCCCUCGGACCCAGCCUCCCGGCCCAGCUCGGCCCCGGGGCGUCCGCCCGCGGGCUCCCGGCCGCCAAGGCGCAGCCCCAGCCGCAGGAGGGGACCCGGAAAAGGUUUCUCGGGCGCUCACCGGGAAGGGGACGGGGAGAGUUCCCCAGAGAGGCCAGGGGUCGGCCCGGGCCGGGCUGAGCCGGUGCGGCCGGGAGGCCGCCGCUUCCCGGAGCGGCCGGAGCGCCCCCGGGGCUCCCGGGAGGACUUAGAAAAUCAGGGCGGCGGGGACGGUCAAACCGAAACCAGGCACGUCAUCCGAGAAGGACCGUGA